rnacentral:rRNA from 1 species
CAGAGGUCCCAAGCGUUGUUCGGAUUCACUGGGCGUAAAGGGUGCGUAGGUGGUCGGGUAAGUCUGAUGUGAAAUCUCCGAGCUUAACUCGGAAAUGGCAUUGGAUACUAUUCGGCUAGAGGGUUUGAGGGGGGACUGGAAUACUUGGUGUAGCAGUGAAAUGCGUAGAUAUCAAGUGGAACACCAGUGGCGAAGGCGAGUCCCUGGAAAACUCCUGACACUGAGGCACGAAAGCUAGGGGAGCAAACAGGAUUAGAUACCCUGGUAGUCCUAGCUGUAAACGGUGCAUAUUUGCUGUAAAAGGAAUCGACCCCUUUUGUGGCGUAGCUAACGCGAUAAAUAUGCCGCCUGGGAAGUACGGUCGCAAGAUUA